AGAGAGAGAAUGCGAGAAUGCAGAGAGGGAGAGAUGGCUCAAUUUCUUUGAAGAAGAGAAUCACUUUUUGCUGGAAACCGUAUGGGGACUCAAGAAAUCCAACCAUUGAGUAGUUAAGGACGGACGCCGCACUGUUAGUGCAUUGUAGCACAUGUUUCGAGGAGCCCACUAGAUCUCUGUCAGUUCCUAUCCUUGGAUCUACUGUUACUAUAUUGAUGGCCAUCAACUGACUGUUCGGUCUAUUACGACCUGCUGUACUGUUCUACUAUUGAAUGUACCACGUAUGACUGCUAUGAUUUCUAAAUGACUGUUAUGACAUGGAAUAUGAGACAUUGAUUGAAUAACUGAUCUACAGAUACAAUUGACUGUUUUAAUUACUGAAA